AUCACAUUGAAACAACGGCUCUCUUACGAUCGCCAAAGUUAAGCAACGUCGAACCUGGUCAGUACUUAGAUGGGUGACCACUUAGAAGUACCAGGUGCUGUAA